GACAGAGGUGCCAAGCGUUAGGCGGAAUCACUGGGCUUAAAGCGUGUGUAGGCGGGUGCCUAAGUACCUUGUGAAAUCCCACGGCUCAACCGUGGAACUGCUGGGUAUACUGGGUGCCUUGGGUCAUCUAGGGGCUGCCGGAACAAAUGGUGGAGCGGUGAAAUGCGUAGAUAUGCGGAGGAACACCGAUGGCGAAGGCAAUCCCCUGGACCUGUACUGACGCUCAUGCACGAAAGCGUGGGG
rnacentral:rRNA from 1 species